rnacentral:lncRNA from 10 species
CACGCACACACACACAGACAAAACCACACAGACAAGCACACACAGACACAGACAAAACCACAAACACACACAGACAAAACCACAGACAUGUGCACACACACAGACAAAACCACACAGACACGCACAGACACAGACAAAACCACACACACACAGACACGCACACACACACAGACAAAACCACACAGAGACACGUGCACACACAGACAAAACCACACAGACAUGCACACACACACACAGACAAAACCACACAGAGACACACACACACAGACAAAACCACACAGAUUCACACAUGCACACACAGACAAAACCACACAGAGA